rnacentral:tRNA from 1 species
AAGGCCUUAAGUUAAAUACUAAACUAAUAACCUUCAAAGCUAUAAAUAAGGGGCUUUCCUUUAGGCCUUG